GCAGCUUGGAACCAUAACUCCCAGCGCUGUGCGUGCCGGACCCCAGCGUGGGCACCGGUCCCAUUAGCAGCCAUGUGAGAUGGGUCCUGCCAGGGGCCUCCCUGUGCUCACACCACCGGGUGAAAGCUGGAGCUGGAGCCCUGGAGGAUGCGUGGAGAGGGGAAUGCCAGGAGGGGACUCAACUGUGCACAGCAGAGCAGUGCCUUCUUUCUCCAAAGGGCCGCUCCAUCCCACAGCACUAUUUCUGUCCUCUCCAGUCUAUAGCAACCUGCAGGAUCUGAGAGCACAGAGCACUGUGUGCCUCAGGAGGAGCACUGCAGAAUGCUUUCACAUCUGCUCCAGACGGAGGACGUUGCAGCAGCCCCGUCUGAAGGCAGAAUCGAGGUCCCAGGUCACUCCCAGCUCAAUGACAGAGCGUUGGCUGCCGCGAUGGCAGUGGUGCUGUGCAGCUGCAGCUCUCCCCGCUGCCUGCACCAGCCCUCCCCAUCCUCCUCUUUUCAUUCCGUUCCAGCCCGAUUACAGAGAGCUUGCACCCGGAGGCAGCUCACCAGGCGUUUAUGCAUGCAGCUGCCUGAGCUGAAUGCACGCAUGUUAAUGUGUGGAAAUGAGUCGGGGCCACUUUUGUACCAAGUUUUCUGCUCCCUGGAUCGAGCCCACCAGGUCUUCUGGGCCAAAAAGAAUUCAGGAGAGGACCUCUGUGCUUGCUGCUCGCUCUGUCUCUUAACAUUGCCCACAUACCAGUGCUGCUGUUGGGCAGAUAGCAGAGCUUCUCACAAAAGCAGCACCUUGCUUUGUUGUCUCUCUAUGUCCCUUUAUUCAGCUGCUGCUGCUCCAUAACUCCUCAAGCUUGUGGGGAAGGCCAUCACCCCCCAACCCUGCAGCCCAAGUGACCACUGCCACCCAGAU